UUAGUUGGUGGAGUGAUUUGUCUGGUUAAUUCCGAUAACGAACGAGACCUUAACCUACUAACUAGAUCUUAGGAUUAUUAUCCUUUGAAGCUUCUUAGAGGGACUGUGUGGUCAACCUCAAGGAAGUUUAAGGCAAUAACAGGU
rnacentral:rRNA from 1 species